rnacentral:rRNA from 1 species
AUUGAACGCUGGCGGCAUGCCUUACACAUGCAAGUCGAACGGCAGCGGACCUUCGGGUGCCGGCGAGUGGCGAACGGGUGAGUAAUAUAUCGGAACGUACCUUUCAGUGGGGGAUAACGUAGCGAAAGUUACGCUAAUACCGCAUAUUCUGUGAGCAGGAAAGCAGGGGAUCGCAAGACCUUGCGCUGAUUGAGCGGCCGAUAUCAGAUUAGCUAGUUGGUGAGGUAAAGGCUCACCAAGGCGACGAUCUGUAGCGGGUCUGAGAGGAUGAUCCGCCACACUGGAACUGAGACACGGUCCAGACUCCGUACGGGAGGCAGCAGGU